UACGUAGGGGGCAAGCGUUGUCCGGAUUUAUUGGGCGUAAAGAGCGUGUAGGCGGCCGUACAGGUCAGCUGUGAAAACUCGAGGCUCAACCUCGAGAUGUCGGCGGAAACCACUUGGCUAGAGUCCGGAAGAGGAGAGUGGAAUUCCUGGUGUAGCGGUGAAAUGCGCAGAUAUCAGGAAGAACACCUAUGGCGAAGGCAGCUCUCUGGGACGGUACUGACGCUGAGACGCGAAAGCGUGGGGAGCGAACAGG
rnacentral:rRNA from 1 species